CAUCUGUCCUGCUUGCUCCAAGUCAUCUAAUGGCUCUUCUGACACUUGGAAUAAAUUCGGCCAUGGUCCUGGAUUGUGGAUAUAGGGAGAGCCUCGUGUUACCUAUAUAUGAAGGGAUCCCAGUACUGAAUUGUUGGGGAGCACUCCCUCUAGGAGGAAAAGCUCUUCACAAGGAGUUGGAAACUCAGCUACUGGAACAAUGUACUGUUGACACAGGUGCUGCUAAAGAGCAGAGCCUUCCCUCUGUGAUGGGU